rnacentral:rRNA from 1 species
GACGAACGCUGGCGGCGUGCUUAACACAUGCAAGUCGAACGGAAAGGCCCCUUUGGGGGUACUCGAGUGGCGAACGGGUGAGUAACACGUGAGUAACCUGCCCUUGACUUCGGGAUAACUUCAGGAAACUGGGGCUAAUACCGGAUAGGAAUCCUUGCUGCAUGGUGGGGGUUGGAAAGCUUCGGCGGUUUUGGAUGGACUCGCGGCUUAUCAGCUUGUUGGUGGGGUAGUGGCUUACCAAGGCUUUGACGGGUAGCCGGCCUGAGAGGGCGACCGGUCACAUUGGGACUGAGAUACGGCCCAGACUCCUACGGGAGGCAGCAGUGGGGAAUAUUGCACAAUGGGCGGAAGCCUGAUGCAGCAACGCCGCGUGCGGGAUGACGGCCUUCGGGUUGUAAACCGCUUUCAGCAGGGGCGAAGCUUGUGGUGACGGUACCUGCAGAAGAAGCACCGGCUAACUACGUG